rnacentral:rRNA from 1 species
UACGUAGGAUGCGAGCGUUGUCCGGAAUUAUUGGGCGUAAAGAGAACGUAGGCGGUUUGUUAAGUUUGGGCUUAAAGACUGGGGCUCAACCCCAGGAGUGGCUCGAAAACUGACAGACUAGAGGAUGGCAGAGGAAAGUGGAAUUCCCAGUGUAGCGGUGAAAUGCGUAGAUAUUGGGAGGAACGACCAGUGGCGAAAGCGAACUUUCUGGGCCAUUCCGUGACGCUGAGGUUCGAAAGCUCGGGGGAGCAAACAGG